UACGUAGGGGGCAAGCGUUGUCCGGAAUUACUGGGCGUAAAGGGCGCGUAGGCGGCCCGCUAAGUCGAACGUGAAAUCCCCGAGCUCAACUCGGGAACUGCGUCCGAUACUGGUGGGCUUGAAUCCGGGAGAGGGAUGCGGAAUUCCAGGUGUAGCGGUGAAAUGCGUAGAUAUCAGGAGGAACACCGAUGGCGAAGGCAGGUCUCUGGGCCACUACUGACGCUGAGAAGCGAAAGCAUGGGGAGCGAACAGG
rnacentral:rRNA from 1 species